rnacentral:rRNA from 1 species
UGCUGGAGGUAUCAGAAGUGCGAAUGCUGACAUAAGUAACGAUAAAGCGGGUGAAAAGCCCGCUCGCCGGAAGACCAAGGGUUCCUGUCCAACGUUAAUCGGGGCAGGGUGAGUCGACCCCUAAGGCGAGGCCGAAAGGCGUAGUCGAUGGGAAACAGGUUAAUAUUCCUGUACUUGGUGUUACUGCGAAGGGGGGACGGAGAAGGCUAUGUUGGCCGGGCGACGGUUGUCCCGGUUUAAGCGUGUAGGUGUGUGUUCCAGGUAAAUCCGGUUCACUUUAACACUGAGGCGUGAUGACGAGGCACUACGGUGCUGAAGCAACAAAUGCCCUGCUUCCAGGAAAAGCCUCUAAGCAUCAGGUAACAUCAAAUCGUACCCCAAACCGACACAGGUGGUCAGGUAGAGAAUACCAAGGCGCUUGAGAGAACUCGGGUGAAGGAACUAGGCAAAAUGGUGCCGUAACUUCGGGAGAAGGCACGCUGACACGUAGGUGAAGUGAUUUACUCAUGGAGCUGAAGUCAGUCGAAGAUACCAGCUGGCUGCAACUGUUUAUUAAAAACACAGCACUGUGCAAACACGAAAGUGGACGUAUACGGUGUGACGCCUGCCCGGUGCCGGAAGGUUAAUUGAUGGGGUCAGCGCAAGCGAAGCUCCUGAUCGAAGCCCCGGUAAACGGCGGCCGUAACUAUAACGGUCCUAAGGUAGCGAAAUUCCUUGUCGGGUAAGUUCCGACCUGCACGAAUGGCGUAAUGAUGGCCAGGCUGUCUCCACCCGAGACUCAGUGAAAUUGAACUCGCUGUGAAGAUGCAGUGUACCCGCGGCAAGACGGAAAGACCCCGUGAACCUUUACUAUAGCUUGACACUGAACAUUGAGCCUUGAUGUGUAGGAUAGGUGGGAGGCUUUGAAGUGUGGACGCCAGUCUGCAUGGAGCCGACCUUGAAAUACCACCCUUUAAUGUUUGAUGUUCUAACGUGGACCCGUAAUCCGGGUUGCGGACAGUGUCUGGUGGGUAGUUUGACUGGGGCGGUCUCCUCCUAAAGAGUAACGGAGGAGCACGAAGGUUGGCUAAUCCUGGUCGGACAUCAGGAGGUUAGUGCAAUGGCAUAAGC